rnacentral:rRNA from 1 species
ACGCUGGCGGCGUGCCUAAUACAUGCAAGUAGAACGCUGAAGGAGGAGCUUGCUUCUCUGGAUGAGUUGCGAACGGGUGAGUAACGCGUAGGUAACCUGCCUGGUAGCGGGGGAUAACUAUUGGAAACGAUAGCUAAUACCGCAUAAUAGUAGAUGUUGCAUGACAUUUGCUUAAAAGGUGCAAUUGCAUCACUACCAGAUGGACCUGCGUUGUAUUAGCUAGUUGGUGGGGUAACAGCUCACCAAGGCGACGAUACAUAGCCGACCUGAGAGGGUGAUCGGCCACACUGGGACCGAGACACGGCCCAGACUCCUACGGGAGGCAGCAGUAGGGAAUCUCCGGCAAUGGACGGAAGUCUGACCGAGCAACGCCGCGUGAGUGAAGAAGGUUUUCGGAUCGUAAAGCUCUGUUGUAAGAGAAGAACGAGUGUGAGAGUGGAAAGUUCACACUGUGACGGUAUCUUACCAGAAAGGGACGGCUAACUACGUGCCAGCAGCCGCGGUAAUACGUAGGUCCCGAGCGUUGUCCGGAUUUAUUGGGCGUAGAGCGAGCGCAGGCGGUUAGAUAAGUCUGAAGUUAAAGGCUGUGGCUUAACCAUAGUACGCUUUGGAAACUGUUUAACUUGAGUGCAAGAGGGGAGAGUGGAAUUCCAUGUGUAGCGGUGAAAUGCGUAGAUAUAUGGAGGAACACCGGUGGCGAAAGCGGCUCUCUGGCUUGUAACUGACGCUGAGGCUCGAAAGCGUGGGGAGCAAACAGGAUUAGAUACCCUGGUAGUCCACGCCGUAAACGAUGAGUGCUAGGUGUUAGACCCUUUCCGGGGUUUAGUGCCGCAGCUAACGCAUUAAGCACUCCGCCUGGGGAGUACGACCGCAAGGUUGAAACUCAAAGGAAUUGACGGGGGCCCGCACAAGCGG